rnacentral:rRNA from 1 species
CAGCCGCCGCGGUAAUACGAAGGGUGCAAGCGUUACUCGGAAUUACUGGGCGUAAAGCGUGCGUAGGUGGUGGUUUAAGUCCGUUGUGAAAGCCCUGGGCUCAACCUGGGAAUUGCAGUGGAUACUGGGUCACUAGAGUGUGGUAGAGGAUAGUGGAAUUUCCGGUGUAGCAGUGAAAUGCGUAGAGAUUGGAAGGAACAUCUGUGGCGAAGGCGACUAUCUGGGCCAACACUGACACUGAGGCACGAAAGCGUGGGGAGCAAACAGGAUUAGAUACCCCGGUAGUCCCUGUCUCUUAUAC